rnacentral:tRNA from 1 species
GAGAAACUAGUCCAACAAAGACAAUUGACUUCGACUCAAUUAAUUAUGGCUUAAUCCAUAGUUUCUCC